rnacentral:rRNA from 1 species
UACGGGGGGGGCAAGCGUUGUUCGGAAUUACUGGGCGUAAAGGGCGCGUAGGCGGUGCUCUAAGUCGGAUGUGAAAACUCUGGGCUCAACCCAGAGCCUGCAUCCGAAACUGGAGUGCUAGAGUUCUGGAGGGGGUAGCGGAAUUCCUGGUGUAGCGGUGAAAUGCGUAGAUAUCAGGAGGAACACCCGUAGCGAAGGCGGCACUCUGGGCCGGAACUGACGCUGAGGAGCGAAAGCGUGGGGAGCAAACAGG